GAUGAACGCUGGCGGCGUGCCUAAUACAUGCAAGUCGAGCGAACAGACGAGGAGCUUGCUCCUCUGACGUUAGCGGCGGACGGGUGAGUAACACGUGGAUAACCUACCUAUAAGACUGGGAUAACUUCGGGAAACCGGAGCUAAUACCGGAUAAUAUAUUGAACCGCAUGGUUCAAUAGUGAAAGACGGUUUUGCUGUCACUUAUAGAUGGAUCCGCGCCGCAUUAGCUAGUUGGUAAGGUAACGGCUUACCAAGGCGACGAUGCGUAGCCGACCUGAGAGGGUGAUCGGCCACACGAGAACGGAGACACGGUCCAGACUCCUACGGGAGGCAGCAGUAGGGAAUCUUCCGCAAUGGGCGAAAGCCUGACGGAGCAACGCCGCGUGAGUGAUGAAGGUCUUCGGAUCGUAAAACUCUGUUAUUAGGGAAGAACAAAUGUGUAAGUAACUAUGCACGUCUUGACGGUACCUAAUCAGAAAGCCACGGCUAACUACGUG
rnacentral:rRNA from 1 species